UGAGCUCAGACUAAUUUGACGAACCCGAAAUAUUGGAAUUACUCUUCUCAAAUCAAAACUCAGAUGGGGGAGAGAGCUUUUGUUGUUCGUGGCUUUGUAGUAGCGAGAAUCUGGGCUUGUAACUCGUAGAGUGGCUUUAGGCCCUUAGUGAAGAGCUUGUGACCCUGUUUGUUCGAAGGAGGCAACAACACUGUGAAGGUGUGAUCUGGGUAGGGCUCCUUCGUCGCGCAAGGAGACAUUUUUCUUCUUCCUCUUCCCCCUAUUUUAGUUCGACAAUUUCAGAAAACUCUCCUUCUCUCCGUUUUCGUUUGUGGCGCAAGGAUUUUCUGUGUGAAGAGCUCGCGAUUCUGAGUGCAUGAAGAUGGCGAGGGCAGCAGCGACAUCGCCUUUUUGAAUUGGGUUUUCUCUGUUCUUCCCCUGCAGGUGGUGGCAAAAUAGUUAUGGUUUCUGAAAUUGAGAAUUGGGAAUUUAGGUUUUUCGAUCUUGAAAUUGGGAUUU
rnacentral:sRNA from 1 species